rnacentral:rRNA from 1 species
GUGGGGGAUAUUGCGCAAUGGGGGAAACCCUGACGCAGCAACGCCGCGUGCAGGAAGAAGGUCUUCGGAUUGUAAACUGUUGUCGCAAGGGAAGAAGACAGUGACGGUACCUUGUGAGAAAGUCACGGCUAACUACGUGCCAGCAGCCGCGGUAAUACGUAGGUGACAAGCGUUGUCCGGAUUUACUGGGUGUAAAGGGCGUGUAGGCGGGAUAUCAAGUCAGUCGUGAAAUACCGGGGCUCAACCCCGGAGCUGCGAUUGAAACUGAUAUUCUUGAGUAUCGGAGAGGAAAGCGGAAUUCCCAGUGUAGCGGUGAAAUGCGUAGAUAUUGGGAGGAACACCAGUGGCGAAGGCGGCUUUCUGGACGACAACUGACGCUGAGGCGCGAAAGUGUGGGGAGCAAACAGGAUUAGAAACCCCAGUAGUCC